AGACGUCUACAUUAGACUACCCCCGUAGUCCCAGCCGUAAACUAUGCGCGUUAGGUGUAUCGGUGACCACGAGUUACCGAGGUGCCGAAGGGAAACCGUGAAACGUGCCGCCUGGGAAGUACGGUCGACAAGGCUAGAAACUUAAAGGAAUUGGCGGGGAGCACCACAACAGGUGGAGCCUGCGGUUUAAUUGGACUCAACGCCGGGAAGCUCACCGGAUAGGACAGCAGAAUGAUUGCCGGGCUGAAGACCCUGCAUGACUAGCUG
rnacentral:rRNA from 1 species